rnacentral:tRNA from 1 species
GCACCCGUGGUGAAAUGGAUAUCAUGACUGACUUCGGAUCAGUUGUUCCAGGUUCGAGUCCUGGCGGAUGCA